rnacentral:rRNA from 1 species
CCCGAGAUGAGUUCUCCCUGACUCUUUAAGUCUCCUGAAGGAACGUUGAAGACGACGACGUUGAUAGGCCGGGUGUGUAAGCGCAGCGAUGCGUUGAGCUAACCGGUACUAAUGAACCGUGAGGCUUAACCUUACAACGCCGAAG